rnacentral:rRNA from 1 species
GACGAACGCUGGCGGCGUGCUUAACACAUGCAAGUCGAACGGUGAAGCUCCAGCUUGCUGGAGUGGAUCAGUGGCGAACGGGUGAGUAACACGUGAGCAACCUGCCCCUGACUCUGGAAUAAGCGCUGGAAACGGCGUCUAAUACUGGAUACGAGAAGGGUCCGCAUGGGCACUUUCUGGAAAGUUUUUCGGUUGGGGAUGGGCUCGCGGCCUAUCAGCGUGUUGGUGAGGUAAUGGCUCACCAAGGCGACGACGGGUAGCCGGCCUGAGAGGGCGACCGGCCACACUGGGACUGAGGCACGGCCCAGACUCCUACGGGAGGCAGCAGUGGGGAAUAUUGCACAAUGGGCGAAAGCCUGAUGCAGCGACGCCGCGUGAGGGAUGACGGCCUUCGGGUUGUAAACCUCUUUCAGCAGGGAAGAAGCGAAAGUGACGGUACCUGCAGAAGAAGCACCGGCUAACUACGUG